rnacentral:rRNA from 1 species
CCGUACGGGAAGGGGGGAUCGCAAGACCUCUCACUAUUGGAGCGGCCGAUAUCGGAUUAGCUAGUUGUGGGGUAAAGGCCUACCAAGGCGACGAUCCGUAGCUGGUUUGAGAGGACGACCAGCCACACUGGGACUGAGACACGGCCCAGACUCCUACGGGAGGCAGCAGUGGGAAUUUUGGACAAUGGGGAAACCCUGAUCCAGCCAUUCCGCGUGUGCGAUGAAGGCCUUCGGGUUGCAAAGCACUUUUGGCAGGAAAGAAAUCGUGUGGGUUAAUACCCUGCGCGGAUGACGGUACCUGCAGAAUAAGCACCGGCUAACUACGUG